rnacentral:rRNA from 1 species
GAUGAACGCUGGCGGCGUGCUUAACACAUGCAAGUCGAACGGAAAGGCCCUGCUUUUGCGGGGUGCUCGAGUGGCGCACGGGUGAGUAACACGUGAGUAACACGCCCCUGACUUUGGGAUAACUCCAGGAAACUGGGGCGAAUACCGGGUAGGAGCUCCUGAUGCACGGGGGGGGAUGGAGAGUUUCGGCGGUUGGGGCUGGAUUCGAGGCUUAUCCGCUUGUUGGUGGGGUAGUGGCUUACCCAGGCUAUGACGGGUAGCCGGCCUGAGAGGGUGACCGGCCACAUUGGGACUGAGGUACGGCCCAGACUCCUACGGGAGGCAGCAGUGGGAAAUAUUGCACAAUGGGCGGAAGCCUGAUGCAGCAACGCCGCGUGCGGGAUGACGGCCUUCGGGUUGUAAACCGCUUUCGCCUGUGACGAAGCGUGAGUGACGGUAAUGGGUAAAGAAGCACCGGCUAACUACGUG